rnacentral:rRNA from 1 species
GCCUAACACAUGCAAGUCGAGCGGCAGCACAAGUGAGUUUACUUAUGAGGUGGCGAGCGGCGGACGGGUGAGUAAUGCCUAGGGAUCUGCCCAGUCGAGGGGGAUAACAGUUGGAAACGACUGCUAAUACCGCAUACGCCCUACGGGGGAAAGGAGGGGACCUUCGGGCCUUCCGCGAUUGGAUGAACCUAGGUGGGAUUAGCUAGUUGGUGAGGUAAUGGCUCACCAAGGCGACGGUCCCUAGCUGUUCUGAGAGGAUGAUCAGCCACACUGGGACUUGAGACACGGCCCAGACUCCUACGGGAGGCAGCAGUGGGGAAUAUUGCACAAUGGGGGAAACCCUGAUGCAGCCAUGCCGCGUGUGUGAAGAAGGCCUUCGGGUUGUAAAAGCACUUUCAGUAGGGAGGAAAGGGUGAGUCUUAAUACGGCUCAUCUGUGACGUUACCUACAGAAGAACGGACCGGCUAACUCCGUGCCAGCAGCCGCGGUAAUACGGAGGGUCCGAGGCGUUAAUUCGGAAUUACUGGGGCGUAAAGC